AUACGGAGGACGCGAGCGUUAUCCGGAUUCAUUGGGUUUAAAGGGUGCGCAGGCGGCCGUGCAAGUCAGCGGUGAAAGCCCGGGGCUCAACCCCGGAAGUGCCGUUGAUACUGCAUGGCUGGAAUGCGGUCGAGGCGGGCGGAACGUGGCGGGUAGCGGUGAAAUGCGUAGAUAUGUCACAGAACGCCGAUAGCGGAGGCAGCUCGCCAGGCCUGCAUUGACGCUCGGGCACGAAAGCGUGGGGAUCGAACAGGAUUAGAUACCCUGGUAGUCCACGCCGUAAACGAUGGGCGCUCGUCGUCGGCGGCAGACAGUCGGCGGCCAAGCGAAGGCGAUAAGCGCCCCACCUGGGGAGUACGGUCGCAAGGCUGAAACUCAAAUGAAUUGACGGGG
rnacentral:rRNA from 1 species